AUCCACUUGGAAAUAAUCCCCAGGAAUAAACAAAAGCUGUGACCUUUGAACGCCCGACAAAAUCGCGUGGGAGGAAAAGGACUGGACUUUUUGGCAACAGAACCGCGGAAGGUUCUAAAAUGAGGAGCCCCUUGUUUCUUCUUCGGUUUAUUGUACAAAAUAUGAUCGGCGUCUAAGAGCUUCAUUCGCUAAGAUUUUGCAAACAGAAGCCUUGUUGUGGUUUCUUUUCUAUGUUUAAAAUGUUGAUAAUAAAUGUCUUCAACAGGAACACGUGUUGCGUCCUCGAAAUUCGAGAGAGAAGUGAAAAGGAAAAGAAAAGUAGGCAGCCUUUCUAAAAUACCACACGAUAACUUUUAUAAAGUCAGUAUUUUAAAAAGUUAACAAUGUCUGGCUUCCUAUCGAUUUCGAAGAAAAUAACUAAGUGGAAUUGGAAUAUAGAUGAAUUUACAAAAAUCAACAACAAAUUAUCCGAUGUUGGCCAUUUAUUUUGCUGCGAUUGAUUAUACACAUAUGAUUUAAUAAAAGGAUCAGGGACAUCCACUGGGACAUCAGGGUGCAUGCUCAAAUUCUCAUGCACCACAAUUCCAUAGGGAUUUAGAGGUUGCAGGGGUCGAAUCGGAUUCGCCAAAUCCAUAGUACCGCGAUCAAAAGGCUUCUCUUGUGGCUCUCCCUCACCGCACCAUCACAGC